GCUCUUUCAUGUCUCCUGUGAGUACACUGGUCUUCAGCAAGAGGACAGAACAGAAUUGCUGAAGAUUUAAAAUGGCUGUUUCUCCAGGGAAUGCUUGCAGAGAGUGCUCUGCAGGGCUACACCAAUCUUAGGGGUUAAGGCAUUCUCAGUGCUGCUACAAUUAUUGGCUCCAAUUGUUCUAAGCUCAACCAUUUUCUAGAAGAUACAUGUUAACCCUUUAUCUUCAUGGCAUCCUGUUUCAUGCCUCGCCAUCAAAGGAUAGAGUAUUCCUCAGGCAUAGGAAUGGGGAUAGAGAAAACUGCUCAGAUGCUGCUGUUGCCUGACUGCACCAGAGGAAAUAAAACAUAGGUAAUGUAUCCACUGAUACAAUGCUGCCUUCAAUGCCCUCAUCCUAUUGACAUGAUAUACAGAGGAGUAGAGCAGUCAUCCCACAUCACUCUGACAACAUAUGGAUGAAGUUUAGUACAAAGGAGAUGGGAGCAAUAUUACCAAAUGAAAGGAAACAUCUACAGCUCUGCCUUGGGAAGGGAACCUUUCAGUUUAGCAGAUGUCAUACAAUGAUGUAAUGUCAUUGUAAUGUAACUGUCAC
rnacentral:lncRNA from 1 species